AUACGAAGGGUGCAAGCGUUAAUCGGAAUUACUGGGCGUAAAGCGCGCGUAGGUGGUUCGUUAAGUUGGAUGUGAAAGCCCCGGGCUCAACCUGGGAACUGCAUCCAAAACUGGCGAGCUAGAGUAUAGCAGAGGGUGGUGGAAUUUCCUGUGUAGCGGUGAAAUGCGUAGAUAUAGGAAGGAACACCAGUGGCGAAGGCGGCCCCUUGGGCUAAUACUGACACUGGGGUCGGAAAGGUGGGGGAGCAAAAAGGAUUAGAACCCCUGGUAGUCCACGCCGUAAACGAUGUCGACUAGCCGUUGGGAUCCUUGAGAUCUUAGUGGCGCAGCUAACGCAUUAAGUCGACCGCCUGGGGAGUACGGCCGCAAGGUUAAAACUCAAAUGAAUUGACGGGG
rnacentral:rRNA from 1 species